UGAGUAUGCGUAUGUACAGGUGCUACCGUUGUCAAAUGGUAAUCGAGUCGAAACAUCUACGACGAAAAAGUGCAAGUGCAAACGGUAGGGGACAUCGCGGGCUUUCACUCAGGUUCAAAUUUGCAUCCGGGCAAAGUUCGCCCGGGCGUCAGAGACAUACAUAUACAUCUAAUGGUGCUGCUACCCAGUAAGCCACCUCCCCCUUUCCCUGCCCUUUAAAUAAAAGGGCAGAGUUGCCCUGGCACCAGCAUCAGUGAAUACUCCAACCAUCCAGUCAGUUCAUGUGAGCCGAACUUACUUGCUGGAUCGCCAGUCGUUCCAUCAAGUUCUCGAGCAGAAAUUGUCCAGCAGCAGUUCCCAAAGAAGAAUACAAGUGUUUGACUUUUGAUUUUCCAAGUUGGAGGGGCUUAAUUCAACGUCGUCGUCAAGGGGAUCCGGGGAAAUUGGAAUAAUGGAGGCCAUCCUGGAAUCAAACAAAUCACUCUGGAAGCGGACUGGAAAUAUGGCGUUGGUUUUCGUCGGUGCCUUGUCCAUUUUCUUAGCCUCGGUCGAAGAAGUUCAUUUGGAUUUGGAACAAUUCUGGACAGAUUUGGGAGUACCGUCUCUGUUGCAGCGCAUCCUUCCAUACGUGGCGGCCGGCUGAUUUUUAUAGGUCGAAAUCAGAAAUCAUCACGACGUAUAUAUCCGACAUAUAGGAACAAAAUCUAUAAAACAAAAUAAAAUGCCAUUCAAUUUCAUUAGGAAUAAUAGAGUAUGUGAUACAUUUGAUUCUAUUGACCGCGCAAACGGAACUUUACUGACGAAAUACAAACACCUUUUUUAUUUCCA